rfam:Glycine soja cultivar W05 scaffold5552_19, whole genome shotgun sequence.
UUCUGAUUGAACGAUGACUGUCACGUGUCAUAUUCUGAUUGACUAAUGAUAACAACAAAGCAUUUCAUCGUCCAUAGAGUCGACAUUCAAUCAGAAUAUGACACGUGACCAUCAAUAUUC